CGCAGCCGCGGUAAUUCCAGCUCCAAUAGCGUAUAUUAAAGUUGUUGCAGUUAAAAAGCUCGUAGUUGAAUUUCGAGAUCAAAUUGUUGGUCGUGCCUUGGUACGCACUGGCAUUAUUGGUUUCUCCCUUCUGACGAACCAUGAUGUCAUUAAUUUGGUGUCUUGGGGAAUCAGGACUGUUACUUUGAAAAAAUUAGAGUGUUUAAAGCAGGCUCACGCUUGAAUACAUUAGCAUGGAAUAAUGAAAUAGGACGUUUGAUUCUACUUUGUUGGUUUCUAGGAUCGACGUAAUGAUUAAUAGGGAUAGUUGGGGGCAUUAGUAUUCAAUUGUCAGAGGUGAAAUUCUUGGAUUUAUUGAAGACUAACUACUGCGAAAGCAUUUGCCAAGGAUGUUUUCAUUAAUCAAGAACGAAAGUUAGGGGAUCGAAGACGAUCAGGUACCGUCGUAGUCUUAACCAUAAACUAUGCCGACUAGGGAUCG
rnacentral:rRNA from 1 species